rnacentral:tRNA from 1 species
AUAUAUAUAGUAUAAUACAUUACAUUUAAUUUCCAAUUAAAAAAUUUAAAAAUUUAUUUAAUAUAUAUA